rnacentral:tRNA from 1 species
GGGCCCAUGGUCUAGCGACCUGCGAUGCAAAAUCGCUCGCGGCUAGAAGCUAUGACAUCACCCUUACAAGGUGAGGGUCCCCGGUUCGAAUCCGGGUGGGCCCACCA